UACGAAGGGGGCUAGCGUUGCUCGGAAUGACUGGGCGUAAAGGGCGCGUAGGCGGUUCGUACAGUCAGACGUGAAAUUCCCGGGCUCAACCUGGGGGCUGCGUUUGAUACGUGCGGGCUUGAGUUCGGAAGAGGGUCGUGGAAUUCCCAGUGUAGAGGUGAAAUUCGUAGAUAUUGGGAAGAACACCGGUGGCGAAGGCGGCGAGCUGGUCCAUUACUGACGCUGAGGCGCGAUAGCGUGGGGAGCAAACAGG
rnacentral:rRNA from 1 species